AAUAAGUACAUUAAUUUUAACCAGUAACAGAACUCGUGAAACGGAACAACUUUUUUAUCUAGCAUUUUUUCGAAAACUCAAGUCGAAUUUCGAAUUUUCCCACCCAUAUAUUCACGAGCCGUCUAUGUUCACCUUAAAUAAUAACUUAAAUAAUAACAACACUACAACAAUGAAGAAGGUACCCUAGCAAUCGUUUUGACACUGACAAUCAUUUUUAUGUCAAUGUUUUUACUAAACGUUGUCUCUUUAAAGUUUGUUUGGCACAGAUUUCUAAUUUAUAAACGAAAUGUGUUGAAAUGGCUUUGUUUUCAAAUGUGGAAUGCACCGAUAUCGUUUUAACGUACGGUGAAGCUCGGGGAAACGGCACUCGCGCCCAACGAAUUUUUUCAGAAAACCUCCCAAAUCGUCGUCUGCCAAAUGUGCGCAGUUUUAAGAACGUUGCAGCAUUUUCGAGAGUACGGAUCUUUUAAACCUGCACCUUAGGAUCGGGUGUCGAAGCUCGACCGGGCACUAGCACGUAUCACUGUCUAGUGUGAUGUAUCGGAGAGUAGUAUUUGGAGGAUACUCAGAGAACAAAUGUACCCCUUUCAGGACCAGAAAGUUCAGUUAUUGAAACUAUCAGACUUACCACGUAGGCAAAACUUUUGUGAGUGGGUUAAUAGAAAAAUAAACGAACAAGCAAA